UUAAGCGACUAAGCGUACACGGUGGAUGCCCUGGCAGUCAGAGGCGAUGAAGGACGUGCUAAUCUGCGAUAAGCGUCGGUAAGGUGAUAUGAACCGUUAUAACCGGCGAUUUCCGAAUGGGGAAACCCAGUGUGAUUCGUCACACUAUCAUUAACUGAAUCCAUAGGUUAAUGAGGCGAACCGGGGGAACUGAAACAUCUAAGUACCCCGAGGAAAAGAAAUCAACCGAGAUUCCCCCAGUAGCGGCGAGCGAACGGGGAGCAGCCCAGAGCCUGAAUCAGUGUGUGUGUUAGUGGAAGCGUCUGGAAAGGCGCGCGAUACAGGGUGACAGCCCCGUACACAAAAAUGCACAUACUGUGAGCUCGAUGAGUAGGGCGGGACACGUGGUAUCCUGUCUGAAUAUGGGGGGACCAUCCUCCAAGGCUAAAUACUCCUGACUGACCGAUAGUGAACCAGUACCGUGAGGGAAAGGCGAAAAGAACCCCGGCGAGGGGAGUGAAAAAGAACCUGAAACCGUGUACGUACAAGCAGUGGGAGCCUCUUAAUGGGGUGACUGCGUACCUUUUGUAUAAUGGGUCAGCGACUUAUAUUCUGUAGCAAGGUUAACCGAAUAGGGGAGCCGAAGGGAAACCGAGUCUUAACUGGGCGUUAAGUUGCAGGGUAUAGACCCGAAACCCGGUGAUCUAGCCAUGGGCAGGUUGAAGGUUGGGUAACACUAACUGGAGGACCGAACCGACUAAUGUUGAAAAAUUAGCGGAUGACUUGUGGCUGGGGGUGAAAGGCCAAUCAAACCGGGAGAUAGCUGGUUCUCCCCGAAAGCUAUUUAGGUAGCGCCUCGUGAAUUCAUCUCCGGGGGUAGAGCACUGUUUCGGCAAGGGGGUCAUCCCGACUUACCAACCCGAUGCAAACUGCGAAUACCGGAGAAUGUUAUCACGGGAGACACACGGCGGGUGCUAACGUCCGUCGUGAAGAGGGAAACAACCCAGACCGCCAGCUAAGGUCCCAAAGUCAUGGUUAAGUGGGAAACGAUGUGGGAAGGCCCAGACAGCCAGGAUGUUGGCUUAGAAGCAGCCAUCAUUUAAAGAAAGCGUAAUAGCUCACUGGUCGAGUCGGCCUGCGCGGAAGAUGUAACGGGGCUAAACCAUGCACCGAAGCUGCGGCAGCGACGCUUAUGCGUUGUUGGGUAGGGGAGCGUUCUGUAAGCCUGCGAAGGUGUGCUGUGAGGCAUGCUGGAGGUAUCAGAAGUGCGAAUGCUGACAUAAGUAACGAUAAAGCGGGUGAAAAGCCCGCUCGCCGGAAGACCAAGGGUUCCUGUCCAACGUUAAUCGGGGCAGGGUGAGUCGACCCCUAAGGCGAGGCCGAAAGGCGUAGUCGAUGGGAAACAGGUUAAUAUUCCUGUACUUGGUGUUACUGCGAAGGGGGGACGGAGAAGGCUAUGUUGGCCGGGCGACGGUUGUCCCGGUUUAAGCGUGUAGGCUGGUUUUCCAGGCAAAUCCGGAAAAUCAAGGCUGAGGCGUGAUGACGAGGCACUACGGUGCUGAAGCAACAAAUGCCCUGCUUCCAGGAAAAGCCUCUAAGCAUCAGGUAACAUCAAAUCGUACCCCAAACCGACACAGGUGGUCAGGUAGAGAAUACCAAGGCGCUUGAGAGAACUCGGGUGAAGGAACUAGGCAAAAUGGUGCCGUAACUUCGGGAGAAGGCACGCUGAUAUGUAGGUGAAGCGACUUGCUCGUGGAGCUGAAAUCAGUCGAAGAUACCAGCUGGCUGCAACUGUUUAUUAAAAACACAGCACUGUGCAAACACGAAAGUGGACGUAUACGGUGUGACGCCUGCCCGGUGCCGGAAGGUUAAUUGAUGGGGUUAGCGGUAACGCGAAGCUCUUGAUCGAAGCCCCGGUAAACGGCGGCCGUAACUAUAACGGUCCUAAGGUAGCGAAAUUCCUUGUCGGGUAAGUUCCGACCUGCACGAAUGGCGUAAUGAUGGCCAGGCUGUCUCCACCCGAGACUCAGUGAAAUUGAACUCGCUGUGAAGAUGCAGUGUACCCGCGGCAAGACGGAAAGACCCCGUGAACCUUUACUAUAGCUUGACACUGAACAUUGAGCCUUGAUGUGUAGGAUAGGUGGGAGGCUUUGAAGUGUGGACGCCAGUCUGCAUGGAGCCGACCUUGAAAUACCACCCUUUAAUGUUUGAUGUUCUAACGUUGGCCCCUAAUCGGGGUUGCGGACAGUGUCUGGUGGGUAGUUUGACUGGGGCGGUCUCCUCCUAAAGAGUAACGGAGGAGCACGAAGGUUGGCUAAUCCUGGUCGGACAUCAGGAGGUUAGUGCAAUGGCAUAAGCCAGCUUGACUGCGAGCGUGACGGCGCGAGCAGGUGCGAAAGCAGGUCAUAGUGAUCCGGUGGUUCUGAAUGGAAGGGCCAUCGCUCAACGGAUAAAAGGUACUCCGGGGAUAACAGGCUGAUACCGCCCAAGAGUUCAUAUCGACGGCGGUGUUUGGCACCUCGAUGUCGGCUCAUCACAUCCUGGGGCUGAAGUAGGUCCCAAGGGUAUGGCUGUUCGCCAUUUAAAGUGGUACGCGAGCUGGGUUUAGAACGUCGUGAGACAGUUCGGUCCCUAUCUGCCGUGGGCGCUGGAGAACUGAGGGGGGCUGCUCCUAGUACGAGAGGACCGGAGUGGACGCAUCACUGGUGUUCGGGUUGUCAUGCCAAUGGCACUGCCCGGUAGCUAAAUGCGGAAGAGAUAAGUGCUGAAAGCAUCUAAGCACGAAACUUGCCCCGAGAUGAGUUCUCCCUGACUCCCUGAGAGUCCUGAAGGAACGUUGAAGACGACGACGUUGAUAGGCCGGGUGUGUAAGCGCAGCGAUGCGUUGAGCUAACCGGUACUAAUGAACCGUGAGGCUUAACCUU
rnacentral:rRNA from 1 species